GACGAACGCUGGCGGCGUGCUUAACACAUGCAAGUCGAACGGAAAGGCCCUGCUUUUGUGGGGUGCUCGAGUGGCGAACGGGUGAGUAACACGUGAGUAACCUGCCCUUGACUUUGGGAUAACUUCAGGAAACUGGGGCUAAUACCGGAUAGGAGCUCCUGCUGCAUGGUGGGGGUUGGAAAGUUUCGGCGGUUGGGGAUGGACUCGCGGCUUAUCAGCUUGUUGGUGGGGUAGUGGCUUACCAAGGCUUUGACGGGUAGCCGGCCUGAGAGGGUGACCGGCCACAUUGGGACUGAGAUACGGCCCAGACUCCUACGGGAGGCAGCAGUGGGGAAUAUUGCACAAUGGGCGGAAGCCUGAUGCAGCAACGCCGCGUGCGGGAUGACGGCCUUCGGGGGGUAAACCGCUUUCGCCUGUGACGAAGCGUGAGUGACGGUAAUGGGUAAAGAAGCACCGGCUAACUACGUG
rnacentral:rRNA from 1 species